rnacentral:rRNA from 1 species
UAAAGUUGUUGCAGUUAAAAAGCUCGUAGUUGCAUCUCGGGAUCAGCUGGUCGGUCUUGCCACUGGUAUGUACUAGCUUGCUGAUUCCGCCUUCUUGAAGAACCAUAAUGCCAUUAAUUUGGUGUUGCGGGGAAACAGGACAGUUACUUUGAAAAAAUUAGAGUGUUUAAAGCAGGCCAGCGCCUGAAUACAUUAGCAUGGAAUAAUGAAAUAGNACGUUCGAACCUAUUUUGUUGGUUUCUAGGAUUUACGUAAUGAUUAAUAGGG